rnacentral:rRNA from 1 species
CCGGCGCACGGGUGAGUAACACGUAUCCAACCUGCCGUCUACUCUUGGCCAGCCUUCUGAAAGGAAGAUUAAUCCAGGAUGGGAUCAUGAGUUCACAUGUCCGCAUGAUUAAAGGUAUUUUCCGGUAGACGAUGGGGAUGCGUUCCAUUAGAUAGUAGGCGGGGUAACGGCCCACCUAGUCAACGAUGGAUAGGGGUUCUGAGAGGAAGGUCCCCCACAUUGGAACUGAGGCACGGUCCAA